AGCAUUUCUACGUAUUAUUAAAAAUAGGAAAUUCUCUUACUCGUUUCGCAUAAAAUUUUUCUAAACAUAACCUAUCAUCACAUUCUUGAGAAAUUACUUUUCCAAGGAAAACAAAUCUCGAUAUCUCUAUUCUAAUCCGAUUACCUAGUUCACCUCGAGUUCGAUCUUUUUUUUUCUCGAUGAGCGAUCAGUAGCGACAGUAGCGACUCAUAGCGAAUCAUCUUGGCCACGAUGGAAACAAUGCAUCAGAGUCGGUUGCAUUAGAAGGAGCGAACGGUUACACCUGUAACGGACGAAUAGCGAUGUCGAAAGGCCGGUUCGAGCACCGUGACGUGUCCCAAGCGAAUUUCUUCGUAACCGCACCACGCCAGCCCACACCGUGAGCAAAUUUGCAACGGAAUGGACGGCGUUUAGGUAGCGCGAAUUUGCAUUUUCGCCAUUUUACGGCCAUCCGUGCGGAAAACAGGGCUCGUUCGCCGAGAAAACUGCUCCUUUCCAAUGUUUUAUUCAUUCCAAGUGAUUCCCGUGUAACGAGAGAGAAUAGAUUCAUUUCUCGUAUCGGCCAAUUUCAAUCCUCGCGUAUUUUUAUUAUCGAGAAAGAAAAGCCUGCAUAAAUUUCCUUAAACCUUCAUCAAAAAUAAAGAUUCAACGGACAUAUGUGACAAAUAAAAAAGAUCAGUGCAGCGAAGAAAUAACGGAUUCUCUUAUUGUUCUCCUUGGCUUUUCUCGACUUCCAUCCGAAGCCAGUUCUUCGAAACUAAUUGGCCAUCGGUUAACUUACCUCGUUAGCCAACGUCCCAAUACUUGCAAAACGGGCGUGCGGUUGAAUCAUAAAAGCGACGUGCCCAUCGGUUGCAUCGAAAAGGAAAUAAAGAAGGCGUGAGGAGACACGAGCCAUCUUGUCACCGAUUACGAAAGGAGGAAAUUAUUACGCGUCCUCAUACGCGUUGUAAAAUGUCAUCGAGAAACGUCGAAAAACUCAUUUCUCUCUUUCGAUCCUUGGGCUUUAUAAAAAAAAAAAAAAAGAAGAAGAAGAAACGUUGCGUGGAUCGCGCACGCCUUUCCUGAAAAUUGCUGUUUCAUUUCAAUUAAACCGAUGAUUAACGACAGCACACACUGCUGUUGGAUCCGCAAUUAUUUAAGGCAAUUAUCGAUCGUCCAUGAUUCUUCAAUGAAUCUGUUUCCUUUCCUACGGUAUAAUAAAAAGUGGAAAACAGAAUUUUUUCACUAGCAGAAUGUCAAAGUCUCUGUCUUUUAAAUGGCAACUUAUAACUACAUGGUAAUAUUCCAAAUGUUCCUUUCAAUGAACGCAGCAACUUGAAUCAAGAUCAUAAUCUGUGAACUCAUGAAAGUAUCAAUGUAAAUUGUAUAGAAGAACGGAUUUCUGAUUAUGGAUGUUUCAAAGAAAGGAGAUUAUUUCAUGAUAAAUGAGAAAAUAUACUCAUAAAAAGUAUAAAUUUAAAA